rnacentral:rRNA from 1 species
AUUCGCCUUAGAGUUUGAUCCUGGCUCCCGACGAACGUUGGCGGCGCGCCUAACACAUGCAAGUCGAACGAGCGAGAGAGAGCUUGCUUUCUCGAGCGAGUGGCGAACGGGUGAGUAACGCGUGAGGAACCUGCCUCAAAGAGGGGGACAACAGUUGGAAACGACUGCUAAUACCGCAUAAGCCCACAGCUCGGCAUCGGGCAGAGGGAAAAGGAGCAAUCCGCUUUGAGAUGGCCUCGCGUCCGAUUAGCUGGUUGGUGAGGUAACGGCCCACCAAGGCGACGAUCGGUAGCCGGACUGAGAGGUUGAACGGCCACAUUGGGACUGAGACACGGUCCAGACUCCUACGGGAGGCAGCAGUGGGGAAUAUUGCACAAUGGGGGAAACCCUGAUGCAGCGACGCCGCGUGGAGGAAGAAGGUCUUCGGAUUGUAAACUCCUGUUGUUGAGGAAGAUAAUGACGGUACUCAACAAGGAAGUGACGGCUAACUACGUGCCAGCAGCCGCGGUAAAACGUAGGUCACAAGCGUUGUCCGGAAUUACUGGGUGUAAAGGGAGCGCAGGCGGGAAGACAAGUUGGAAGUGAAAUCUAUGGGCUCAACCCAUAAACUGCUUUCAAAACUGUUUUUCUUGAGUAGUGCAGAGGUAGGCGGAAUUCCCGGUGUAGCGGUGGAAUGCGUAGAUAUCGGGAGGAACACCAGUGGCGAAGGCGGCCUACUGGGCACCAACUGACGCUGAGGCUCGAAAGUGUGGGUAGCAAACAGGAUUAGAUACCCUGGUAGUCCACACCGUAAACGAUGAUUACUAGGUGUUGGAGGAUUGACCCCUUCAGUGCCGCAGUUAACACAAUAAGUAAUCCACCUGGGGAGUACGACCGCAAGGUUGAAACUCAAAGGAAUUGACGGGGGCCCGCACAAGCAGUGGAGUAUGUGGUUUAAUUCGACGCAACGCGAAGAACCUUACCAAGUCUUGACAUCCUGCGACGGACAUAGAAAUAUGUCUUUCCUUCGGGACGCAGAGACAGGUGGUGCAUGGUUGUCGUCAGCUCGUGUCGUGAGAUGUUGGGUUAAGUCCCGCAACGAGCGCAACCCUUACUGUCAGUUACUACGCAAGAGGACUCUGGCAGGACUGCCGUUGACAAAACGGAGGAAGGUGGGGAUGACGUCAAAUCAUCAUGCCCUUUAUGACUUGGGCUACACACGUACUACAAUGGCGUUAAACAAAGAGAAGCAAGACCGCGAGGUGGAGCAAAACUCAGAAACAACGUCCCAGUUCGGACUGCAGGCUGCAACUCGCCUGCACGAAGUCGGAAUUGCUAGUAAUCGUGGAUCAGCAUGCCACGGUGAAUACGUUCNCCGGGCCAUGUACACACCGCCCGUC